GACGAACGCUGGCGGCGUGCUUAACACAUGCAAGUCGAACGGAAAGGCCCUGCUUGCAGGGUACUCGAGUGGCGAACGGGUGAGUAACACGUUGGUGAUCUGCCCUUCACUUCGGGAUAAGCCUGGUAAACUGGGUCUAAUACCUGAUAGUUGCCAUUUUUUUUUUUUUGGUUGGAAAGUUUUUUCGGUUUUGGAUGAGCUCGCUGCCUAUCUGCUUGUUGGUGGGGUAAUGGCCUACCAAGGCGGCGACGGGUAGCCGGCCUGAGAGGGUGGACGGCCAAAAUGGGAAUGAGAGACGGCACAGACUGGUAAGGGAGGCAGCAGGGGGGAAUAAUGCAAAAUGGGAGAAAGCCUGAUGCAGCGACGCCGCGUGGGGGAUGACGGCCUUAGGGUUGUAAAAAAAAUUCGCUAGGGACGAAGCUUUUUGUGACGGUACCUAGAUAAGAAGCACCGGCUAACUACGUG
rnacentral:rRNA from 1 species